rnacentral:rRNA from 1 species
UAGGGAAUAUUGGGCAAUGGGGGCAACCCUGACCCAGCAACGCCGCGUGAGGGAAGAAGGUUCUCUGGAUUGUAAACCUCUGUCCUAUGGGACGAAGAAGUGACGGUACCAUAGGAGGAAGCUCCGGCUAACUACGUGCCAGCAGCCGCGGUAAUACGUAGGGAGCGAGCGUUGUCCGGAAUUACUGGGCGUAAAGGGUGCGUAGGCGGCCUGGUAAGUCAGAUGUGAAAUACCCGUGCUCAACAUGGGGGGUGCAUCUGAUACUGUUAGGCUUGAGUGCAGGAGAGGAAAGCGGAAUUCCUAGUGUAGCGGUGAAAUGCGUAGAUAUUAGGAGGAACACCAGUGGCGAAGGCGGCUUUCUGGACUGUAACUGACGCUGAGGCACGAAAGCGUGGGGAGCAAACAGG